AGAGUUUGAUCCUGGCUCAGGAUGAACGCUGGCGGCGUGCCUAAUACAUGCAAGUCGAACGAACCUCGCAAGAGGUUAGUGGCGACCGGGUGCGUAACACGUAGCUGACCUGCCCCUCAGCGGGGGGCAACAGUGCGAAAGCGCUGCUAAUACCGCAUACGCUCGGAGUGCCCAGAAGGCUCUGAGGAAACUUACGGGGUUGAGGGAGGGAGCUGCGGCCCAUCAGGUAGUUGGUGCGGUAACGGCGCACCAAGCCAACGACGGGUAGGGGGCCUGAGAGGGUGGUCCCCCACACUGGGACUGACACACGGCCCAGACUCCUACGGGAGGCAGCAGUAAGGGAUAUUGCGCAAUGGGCGAAAGCCUGACGCAGCAACGCCGCGUGGAGGAUGACGGCCUUCGGGUUGUAAACUCCUUUUGGUUCGGACGAGGAAGGACGGUACGGACUGAAGAAGUCACGGCUAACUACGUGCCAGCAGCCGCGGUAAAACGUAGGUGGCAAGCGUUAUCCGGAUUUACUGGGCGUAAAGCGUGUGCAGGCGGUUUUCCAAGUGGUGUAUGAAAUCGCCCGGCUUAACCGGGCGGGGUUAUGCCAGACUGGGAGACUGGAGUGCGGGAGAGGGGCGUGGAAUUCCGGGUGUAGUGGUGAAAUGCGUAGAGAUCCGGAGGAACCCCAGCGGCGAAGGCGGCGCCCUGGCCCGACACUGACGCUCAGACACGACAGCAUGGGGAGCGAACGGGAUUAGAAACCCCGGUAGCCCAUGCCGUAAACAAUGCCAACUAGGCGUCGGCGGUCUCAACCCCGUCGGUGCCGGAGCUAACGCGGGAAGUUGGCCGCCUGGGGAGUACGACCGCAAGGUUAAAACUUAAAGGAAUUGAUGG
rnacentral:rRNA from 1 species